GAUGAACGCUAGCGGCAGGCCUAACACAUGCAAGUCGAGGGGCAGCACAGAAACAGCAAUGUUUUGGUGGCGACCGGCGGACGGGUGCGUAACGCGUAUGCAACCUACCUUUAACAGGGGGAUAACGGAGAGAAAUUUCCACUAAUACCCCAUAACAUCGAUCAAGGCAUCUUGAUUGGUUGAAAACUCCGGUGGUUAAAGAUGGGCAUGCGUUGUAUUAGGUAGUUGGUGAGGUAAUGGCUCACCAAGCCUACGAUACAUAGGGGGACUGAGAGGUUAGCCCCCCACACUGGUACUGAGACACGGACCAGACUCCUACGGGAGGCAGCAGUGAGGAAUGUUGGUCAAUGGGGGCAACCCUGAACCAGCCAUGCCGCGUGCAGGAAGACGGCUCUGUGAGUUGUAAACUGCUUUUAAACAGGGAUAAAGCACAGUAUGUAUACUGUGUUGAAGGUACUGUAAGAAUAAGGAUCGGCUAACUCCGUGCCAGCCGCCGCUGUAA
rnacentral:rRNA from 1 species